AAAGGGUGUGUAGGUGGCAUUGUUAGUCGUUUGUGAAAGCCCGGGGCUUAACCUCGGAAACGCGAACGAAACGGCAAAGCUUGAGUAUGUGAGAGGUAAGCGGAACUCAUGGUGUAGGGGUGAAAUCCGUUGAUAUCAUGGGGAACACCAAAAGCGAAGGCAGCUUACUGGCACAUUACUGACACUGAAACACGAAAGCGUGGGUAGCGAAUGGGAUUAGAUACCCGAGU
rnacentral:rRNA from 1 species